rnacentral:rRNA from 1 species
AGAGUUUGAUCCUAGCUCAGGGUGAACGCUGGUAACGUGGAUACCGGCAUGCAAGUCACGGGGGCCGCAAGGCAACCGGCGAACGGCUUAGUAACACGUGGGUACAUACCUCAAAGUGGAGCAUAGCUCGUCGAAAGACGGGGUAAUUCUCCAUAGUCUCGCAAGAGUAAAGCAGCAAUGCGCUUUGAGAAUGGCCUGCGGCCUAUCAGAUAGUUGGCGGUGUAAUAGACCACCAAGUCAAUGACGGGUAGGGGGCGUGAGAGCGCGACCCCCAAGAAUGGCACUGCGACACGGGCCAUACUCCUACGGGAGGCUGCAGUCGAGAAUCUUCCGCAAUGGACGAAAGUCUGACGGAGCGACGUUACGUGAAUGAUGAAGCCCUUCGGGGUGUAAAGUUCUUUUCUCUGGGAGGAAGCCGCAAGGCAGACAGUACCAGAGGAAUAAGGGGAUCCUAAUUCUGUGCCAGCAGGAGCGGUAAUACAGAAUCCCCAAGCGUUACCCGGAUUUAUUGGGCGUAAAGGGUCCGUAGGUGGUAAAGUAAGUUGAAAGUUAAAACUCAUCGGCUUAACCUUUGAGGUGCUUUCAAUACUGCUAUACUAGAGGAUGUUAGGGGUGAACGGAACCGACGGAGUAGGGGUGAAAUCCGUUGAUAUCGUCGGGAACACCAAAAGCGAAGGCAGUUCACUAGGACAAUCCUGACACUGAGGGACGAAAGCGUGGGGAGCAAAAAGGAUUAGAUACCCUUGUAGUCCACGCUGUAAACGAUGAUUACUGGCUAUGUGAAGUGUCGACCCUUCACGUGGCGAAGCUAACGCGUUAAGUAUCCCGCCUGGGAAGUACGGUCGCAAGACUAAAACUCAAAGGAAUAGACGGGGACUCACACAAGCGGUGGACCAUGUGGCUUAAUUCGACAACAAACGAAGAACCUUACCAGGUCUAGAAAUCUGCAUGCAAGCUUUAUGAAAGUAGAGCCCUCGCAAGACAUGCAGACAGGUGCUGCAUGGUUGUCGUCAGUUCGUGUCUUGAGACGUACCGUUAAUUCGGGUAACGAACGCAACCCUUGCCCUGUGUUUUAAAUGUCACAGGGGACUGCCCGAGAUAAUUGGGAGGAAGGCGAGGAUGACGCCAAAUCAGCAUGGCCCUUUGAUGACCUGGGCCGCACACGUGGUACAAUGGCCGGUACAAUGCGCUUCGAUGCCGCAAGGCGGAGAUUAAUCGCACCAAAACCGGUCUCAGUUCGGAUUGAGGUCUGAAACCCGACCUCAUGAAGCUGGAAUCGCUAGUAAUCGCCAAUCAGCUACGUGGCGAUGAAUACGUUCCUGAGUCUUGUACUCACCGCCCGUCAAGCCAAGCGAGCUGGGGAUAGCCGAAGUUCCUCGCAAGAGGGCCUAAGCUAGAUUCAGUAAGAGGGGCUAAGUCGUAACAAGGCACGGGUAGCGGAAGCUGCUCGUG